rnacentral:lncRNA from 1 species
CAUGGAGAACUCAUCUCCUCAUGUCCCACCAUAGGCUUAUCAUCAAAAUUGAUCCUUGAUGUAAUUUUUACAUCACAUCAUCUUUUCCUUAGAACUACACCGGUGAUUUGAUUAUUCAUCUCAGAGAUAUGUAGACAAUUCUUUUCGGAUUUAAUCACACUCUCUGUCAACCAACUUUACCCUGGGCUAUGAAUAAAAGAAAGUUUAUAACUUUGAGUGUUCGUUCUUUUUUAUAAUGUGGGAGUACCCAACUUGUUUCGAAACAGAGCCUCAACUUUGAAAACUUUGCAUAAAUGCAUGUCUAAUAAAGUUCAAAGUUACACUAUCAGAGGAGCCUCAUUUAGCCCAGUCUAUCUUGAACGCUUAGCAACUUGGGAGACUCGAAUCAUAAUAAGAGCAGUAACGAUUGGCGAGCCAAGGGGACGGACAUAUGGCUCCUUGACCCAGAAGUCCAAUGCACCAUCUAGCCUCCGAAAAGUUUAUACAACAAACAAGGUUAUGGGUUAUAACAUUCAAACUCAGACUCUACACCAUUCGAGGGAAUAGUCGAAUGAGAGAUCCAGAAAUCAUUCGAAUAUGACUCUGAACUCUGAUCCCAAGUAUGACUACUUCCAUCCCAAACCAACAUACUACGCCAAGUAUGUCUUGCGGCACGGUGUGCUAGCAUGUGACAACUUGUCCCUAAAUUCUACAAUUUUAUUAAUUUUAAAGAGUGAAUUGACAAAAAUGCCCCUAGAUACGAGAGUGUUGACUUUUGUUGACAAGCAUAUUGUGAGACGUAUCAAAUAUUCUUUUAGUGUAUCCUCGUAGUGCUCGUCAUUACGAACGCGUAGGCAUAAGCAGAAUUAAAUUUGGAGUUAUGAAGGAGAUUUUACGGACUUACAAAGUCGAAGGGCAUUUUGGUAAAUCUAUCAUUCCAGAUAAAUACCCUUUAUUAUUUUAAUAAAUUUUAUAGGAUUUUUCUGCAUGGUGGGACCCACCCACGUGGGUCUCCUAUCCCUCUUGCCCGCAUGUCAUUCCUUCCUACUUUCUCGGUUACCUUUCCUAUUUUAUUUUAUUUUAUUAUGUUUUUAUUUUUUUUUUCAGACUCCUCUUUCUCUCUCACUAAAACUCUCUCUCUCUCUUCCCCGCAAAAAUGG